CUAAUGUUAGCAGUGACAAACCUUUUCAGAUGAGGUCAAGUGGCUGCUGUUGGCGCUCAAUGGCCAAUUCUGUUAACAACUGGCGUCUACUGACUGAGGUAGAUCUGGGAAAGAGGUCUGACACCAGGAAACCAAACAGAUCACCAGACAUCAGCAUCCUACCUUUCCUCCGAGUUCCUCAGGACA